rnacentral:rRNA from 1 species
CCUACGGGGCGCAGCAGUUAGGAAUAUUCGUCAAUGGGGGAAACCCUGAACGAGCAAUGCCGCGUGAACGAUGACGGUCCUCUGGAUUGUAAAGUUCUGUUGUUUGGGAAGAACGGCUCUAAUAGGAAAUGAUUAGAGAUUGACUGUACCAUUCAAGAAAGCCACGGCUAACUACGUGCCAGCAGCCGCGGUAAUACGUAGGUGGCGAGCGUUAUCCGGAUUUAUUGGGCGUAAAGCGUCCGCAGCCGGUUUAUUAAGUAUAGAAUAAAACUUCGGGGCUCAACCCCGUCUCGUUCUAUAAACUG